CUAUAUUGCAGACCCAGUGGACUUUGAUGAUUCUUCAGUUUCACCAAAAAACAACUUUAGAAAAAUCAAAAUUUUCAACAAGCUAAGGAGACUGAUUGGGGGAAAUGACAUUCAGCAUCGUAAUCAUGGGUCGUCAGUAGGCAAAACUGGAGGAGCUGAAGAUUCUGAUUCCCCACUUGAUAGUUCAAGUAUUUCAACAGCAACUGAUGCUGCAGGUG
rnacentral:misc_RNA from 1 species